rnacentral:rRNA from 1 species
GAUGAACGCUGGCGGCGUGCUUAACACAUGCAAGUCGAACGAAGCAUUUAAGCCAGAUUCCUUCGGUUUGAAGUCUUUUAUGACUGAGUGGCGGACGGGUGAGUAACGCGUGGGUAACCUGCCUCAUACAGGGGGAUAGCAGCUGGAAACGGCUGGUAAUACCGCAUAAGCGCACAGUACCACAUGGUACAGUGUGAAAACCUCCGGUGGUAUGAGAUGGACCCGCGUCUGUUUAGCUUGUUGGCGGGGUAACGGCCCACCAAGGCGACGAUCAGUAGCCGAGCUGAGAGGGUGACCGGCCACAUUGGGACUGAGACACAGCCCAGACUCCUACGGGAGGCAGCAGUGGGGAAUAUUGCACAAGGAAGGAAACUCUGAUGCAGCGACGCCGCGUGAGUGAAGAAGUAGUUCGCUAUGUAAAGCUCUAUCAGCAGGGAAGAUAGUGACGGUACCUGACUAAGAAGCUCCGGCUAAAUACGUG